rnacentral:lncRNA from 1 species
CGAGGGAUGCCUAGCCCAGAGUGCUGCAUUAGCUGUCCCUCAAGCGUCCUCACCUCUACCUGAGGUGAUGGGGCUGCAGAGUGCUCUGAGGGGGUUGAGGUCUCUGAGGCACUCUCAUCCCGGCUCCGUUGAGAAAAGGAAAAACGUUUGACAAUCAUCUGAGAGUUCUGCUUGGCUAGUGAACCGAACUUAGCUGCCCGCUGCAGCACAGAACCCCGGAAGCUGCCUUCUUCACCCUUGAGGUCAUCACUGGAGCUGGCUGUGCUUAGGUGGCCUGAAUCCAGGAUGAUGCUACCCCUAUUGCUGUCAGAGUCAAUGUCGGUUAGGUGCAGGUCAGAGCCACUGGCCACCUUGAUAGGGAUGGGGUUGGAGAUUUCCAGGCGCGUCUUGGAUUCCCGCUUGGAGGACCGGUUCAAGUUGAAAAAGCCACGGCGCAUGCUCAUCUCUUCCAGGCUCCGCAGUUCUGCCGCAGACAUCCUCUCCUUCUUCUCCUUUUUCUCCUUCUUCUCCUUCCGCCCGCCAUCUUUGUCCUUGUCUUUCUUCAUGAGGUUAAACAUGGUGGGUGUGCUGUUUUUAGGGGUUGUAUCCCCAGUUAACUAUCCGUGCUUAACACAGAGUCUUUGGACCCCACCUUGCAGCUGC